rnacentral:rRNA from 1 species
CAUGCAAGUCGAACGAUGAAGCCCAGCUUGCUGGGUGGAUUAGUGGCGAACGGGUGAGUAACACGUGAGUAACCUGCCCUUAACUCUGGGAUAAGCCUGGGAAACUAGGUCUAAUACCGGAUAGGAGCGCCUACCGCAUGGUGGGUGUUGGAAAGAUUUAUCGGUUUUGGAUGGACUCGCGGCCUAUCAGCUUGUUGGUGAGGUAAUGGCUCACCAAGGCGACGACGGGUAGCCGGCCUGAGAGGGUGACCGGCCACACUGGGACUGAGACACGGCCCAGACUCCUACGGGAGGCAGCAGUGGGGAAUAUUGCACAAUGGGCGAAAGCCUGAUGCAGCGACGCCGCGUGAGGGAUGACGGCCUUCGGGUUGUAAACCUCUUUCAGUAGGGAAGAAGCGAAAGUGACGGUACCUGCAGAAGAAGCACCGGCUAACUACGUGCCAGCAGCCGCGGUAAUACGUAGGGUGCGAGCGUUAUCCGGAAUUAUUGGGCGUAAAGAGCUCGUAGGCGGUUUGUCGCGUCUGUCGUGAAAGUCCGGGGCUUAACCCCGGAUCUGCGGUGGGUACGGGCAGACUAGAGUGCAGUAGGGGAGACUGGAAUUCCUGGUGUAGCGGUGGAAUGCGCAGAUAUCAGGAGGAACACCGAUGGCGAAGGCAGGUCUCUGGGCUGUAACUGACGCUGAGGAGCGAAAGCAUGGGGAGCGAACAGGAUUAGAUACCCUGGUAGUCCAUGCCGGUAACGUUGGGCACUAGGUGUGGGGACCAAUUCCACGGUUCCGCGCCGCAGCUAACGCAUUAAGUGCCCCGCCUGGGGAGUACGGCCGCCAGGCUUAAAACUCAAGGAAUUGACGGGGGCCCCGCACAGCGGCGGAGCAUGCGGAUUAAUUCGAUGCACCGCGAAAACCUUACCAAGGCUUGACAUGUUCUCGAUCGCCGUAGAGAUACGGUUCCCCUUUGGGGCGGGUCACAGGGGGGCAUGGUGUCGCCACUCGU